rnacentral:rRNA from 1 species
AGCUCCAGUAGCGUAUAUUAACGUUGUUGCAGUUAAAAAGCUCGUAGUUGGAUUUCUGGUUUGACAUACUUGGCCCGCCCCGUUAGGUGUGUGAGUGCCGAGCUUUGUCUACCAUCCUUCUAGAAAACGUAUCCCCUCUUCAUUGGGUGGGAUCCGGGAUCUAGAUCUUUUACUUUGAAAAAAUUAGAGUGUUCAAAGCAGGCUUGCGCUAUGAAUACAUUAGCAUGGAAUAAUAACAUAGGACCUUGGUUCUAUUUUGUUGGUUUCUAGGACUAAGGUAAUGAUUGAUAGGGAUAGUUGGGGGUGCUAGUAUUCAGUGGCCAGAGGUGAAAUUCUCAGAUUCACUGAAGACUAACUUAUGCGAAAGCAUUCACCAAGGAUGUCUUCUUUA